ACAAGUCUUGCAAAAGUGCCCUCGGCCGGGCGCGGGUGUCCCGCGUCGCCUCAGUUCGCCCGCUACCACACACGCCUCCGGCUCACCGCCCUGAGUUGUUUUCGGUUUCUGAGGAGCCGGGACGGUCAGCUCACCCGGACUUCGCCACUUGCGGGGCUCGCGGAGCUCCGCUGGCGCCCUACGGCGGCGGGCACUAGGCUGCUUCGCCUCAGCAGCGGGUUCACAGUAAUUGCAGCCUAUAUGAACGAAGUGAACUAGCAUCUCAAAUCUAACCUCUUCCAAGUCAGACAAACGCGGGAAAUACUUAGCUGUCUUGAGCAUCAAAUGUCCAUCAUGGAGAGAAGAGAGUACUAGGGCCCUUGCAGUGGACACAGGCUACAGUGGAAAGCCUGCUCAUCAGGUGGCUCGUGUAAAGGAUGGCAAGCAGCAAUCCCCAGCAGAAAGCAAGCCUCUGAUUGUGGUGUGCAUAGAAGACUUGCUGGCUUAGCAAGUGUGUUGCACCAACACCUUGUUUGUAAAGAAAAUUGCAACACAUCCCUCAGAUACAGCACCUAAGCCACAGAUACUGAACAUCUGGACAGAUGCUGGUGCUGAACAACUUGACUGACAUCUCCCACAGACUGUACUGCGGGUCUACUGACGAGAGACAAGACGAUGAAAGCUGUCACGGUAUAAUAUGCACGUACACAAGACAAGUGCUUUCAAAAAUGCUCUAGACAGUUUAAGAUACAUAACCGUCUUCCAUGGCUUUUAAAGUAAAAAUAAGUAUAAAUUCUCUAUUAUUAUUUUUAGAUCAGUUACAUUUUAUACGGGGCAUAAACUAUUAAGGUGAUCUGAUGAGAAAAAAAAAGGGCCUUUUCUGCAAGCCACUUUCAAUCACAUCAGAAUAGAGGGUCCUUUUGAAGGAAAAGCUGAAAAUUAAAAUUGACCAAUGGGCUGGAGAGCCCAUAAAGGGAUUAUUUUUCCAGUACUUAAGGAAACAUGACCCCUCUGAUGUGGGCAGCCUGCGGCCCUAGCAAGUGUCCCUCUACAGCAAGCCAUGCUUCCCAUAUGAAGUCAUUCUAUCAAAGCUGUCAGUAACACGCUGUUGAAACUCCGCCAUAGUAAAAUACUCUUUGUGGGUGCUAAUGACUUUGCAUUGGAAUAAAAAGGCCUUAAGCCUCUGUUUCUUC
rnacentral:lncRNA from 1 species